GUGCCAGAGCUUGGGAGAUCGGGGCUGAGGAUCGACUAAAAUGUCUUCCUAGUAUACAUGUGACCUUGCCUUAAAAAUCAUAAACAACAGUAACAGUUCCCCCUACUCAAUAGUGGAAAAGCCAGCCAACCAAUUGUUUUAGUUCCUGGAUAAAUUGUGCAUCUAGUUAACGGAGUUGGAAUUCUUUCUCAGCAAGAUCCUUCUUGUCAGUUUCAGCCUACAGAAGCUUUUCUAAAAGUGGAAAGGGCUAUUCCUCAAAUGAUGUGCUUCCCCAGUAGGGAUUUGUACGUCUCACCUAUGACUUGCCAUUUGUUAAGGCAGAGAGAAGAAAGGCGCCCAACCCUUAGUACUUCCUUCAGGACAAUGGCAGAAUUCAUGGACUAUACUUCAAGUCAGUGUGGGAAAUACUACUUGUCUACACCGGAGGAAGGAGGGGCAACCCACGUCUACCGUUAUCACAGAAGGAAGCCUGCAGAAGUGCACGUGUGCUCAGACUCGGGGCACAGGGAAGCGCAAGUGCGUGCCCGAUGUUCCCCACAGCACCUGCCUUGUCUCAAGGUUGAGACCUUGGUUUGGAAGUCCCUGUGGGAUUUUGUGUUAUCAGCUGCAUGUGUGACUCAGCACUGCAGUGCUCAGCAGACACAUCACGGCCUCAGGGAACUUCC
rnacentral:lncRNA from 1 species